rnacentral:lncRNA from 1 species
CCGUCUCGGACCCUCACUGUUCCCACUACCAAUCCCACCACCAUCCAUCUCCGUCAACACCACAGGCAACACUCUCUCCCCCUCUCCCAUCGCCGCAUUAAACCUCCCGACCGCGAAUCCCCCUCCGGGAAGCCUCCAUAUCGUCAUCCCCACGGCGUUAUCACCCUCCUCGUUGUUGCUGCUGCUCCGUCUGUUAGGCUCCGAAGGUAGCUCGAACCGGCAGACCGGGCACGAGUUUCUGAUCGAUAGCCACGGCGUGAUACAGUCGUCGUGGAAAAUGUGUUUACACGGCAUCUCACGCGCCUCCGUCUCCGCCUCGAAAACCUCAGUGCACACAGCGCAAUUCGCCUCCGAGCUGAUGUGACAAUCGGAGAUUUCGACUCUCGGCAACGACUCAAUCGCCGAUUUCGACGCCGGAGGGUUUCCAGAUCUGCCGAUUCCGGCUCCCGACGCCUCGAUCUGACUUAGCUGCUCGAGCAACCGCUCGAACCCGGAUCCCAUCACGAUCUCGCAUACUCAAUCCGGAAGGGGACGAAGACCCGAUCCGGAUCCGUCAUCGUAGUAAAACUCGAAAGCGCGUCGGUCUCCUUCUUCGGAAUCGUCUCUCUCGCCGGCGCCUCCUUGGAGGACGAUGACAGGAUUGAACGAAGGACGACGGCUGGAUCUACGGCGUCUAAUCACGGAUCUACGUGUGCUAUCGAUCGAUCUAACUUCAGUGGGAGGUGGAGUCGCUAAUUCGACGGCGGCGGAGGAGGAAUCGGUUACCUCUUCGAUGAAACCACCGUCGCAGUGGGGGCAAGCGACGCUGCCUUGUUCAGAUUCAGACCAGACGCUGACGAAUCGCGUGCAGCUGUAGCACCAAUACGACGCAGUGGCCGGCGGUGUUGUAAUUGUCGUUGACGGCGACGGCGACGAUGACGGCAUCUUCUGACUCCGUGAGAGGAAUCUCUGACCAGAGUUAAAAUGAGAGAGAGAGGUUGAGAUGAGAGAAUGUAAACGUAGCUUUUAAGGCGUUCGUAGGAGCGGAAUUAACGGCGUCGGAUUAGACGGUGAAUAGACACGUGGUAAGUGUUUGACUGGGUGGGAGAUAGCGGAGUUAUUGACGGACGUUAUGUAUAGAGGAAGGAGCGUUCAAACGUGUUUGACCCAAACGCGGAAAGUGGAAACGCCGAGAAAAUUCAAAAGAAGCGCCGUGUCUGACUUAUGUGGGAACACCCAUUUGAUCUCCGUUUCUUCUGGGAAAAAGCCACCCAACGACAUCGUUUCGGUUUGUGAAUUAUGCCAGAAACAAAGCGUGCUGACUGCUUAAUAAUAUAGUCCUUUUUUGUAUUAAUUUAAAAUGUUGUAGUUUACAUUUGUUGUUGUUAGUUACAUAAUUUGUGACAUAUGCUAUUAUGUUUGGCAAUGAUGUGGAGGGUAGAAUCUUUAGAAAAUUAGAUUUUCUUACACGUUGAUGGCUCAAACAAAUUAUUGGUGCCAAGUUGAUAAAAUAUCACACAAGAACCAACUUGUAUCUAUAAAUCGUUUUUAUUAUUAAAAAUGAAAUGAAAAGACUAAAAGUUGCUCAACUAACUAUUGUCUCUGUGUUUCUCUCAUUUGUUUGCAAGCAUUGACAAUAAACAAAUCGCAAUUAUAGCAACUGAUUACCACAACUUCUCGUCACACAAGAAACACAAAACCUGGUGUGAAAACCGUUUGCUAAGCACAACAAUAGGGUGAAACAUGUUCAUUUGUGAAAACAUUUCCAUUUUCUACUGGAAUAUUGAAUCAAAUCAAAUUGACUGUUACAGACAUAAACGGAAGACCAUCAACAACGGCUUCAAUUGGUUUGUCCCUUUUCUUAUGGCUAAAAUUAUGAAAACAAUGAUCUAUGAUCCCUCUGAAACCAACAAUGGCAGCUCGGAAUCUAAACCAGAACUGAAAAAAUGCCAGCUUGAAUCAUGAAACGCUGGAAAAUAAUCAUCGGCUACCGUUUCAAUGGCAAACUCACGAGUGAUCCUUCUUGCAGCUAUGAUCCGUUUAGUGGCACGGAUGACUUCCGGGUCAACAGUCACUUGCUCCUCGUACAUCUGAAAGCUGUUCCCAAACAACGCGAUUCUGCACAAUCGAUCCACUCUCCAGUUAGCUUGCAACAGGUUGUUGUACAGAUUGGCCUCACAGUGCGGCAUGAAGAAAAGAGUAGGCUUCAAAGCUUCCCUCCGAGCUUGCUCGUUCACAGACAGAACAGUGCAUCCCAUAGAUUCUAGGACACUAGAUUCAGUCGCGGAGAGGAUAGGGUCGAAUACUUCAAUGUUACCAACCCAAUGAAACUCUCUCUUCAUCAAAACCGCAAUGCUCAGCUGAAACCUCGGAGAUUCAUAAGCUUCGAUGCUUCCUAUACCAUACACCACCAUCUGAAGCUGUGUUUCAGUGCCUAACACGAGGCGAAACUGGUCUGAAACUUUGAUAAGGUUUAGCUACCUCGAUCUAGAGAACUCUGUAAACUUCUUUAUAAAUUUGAAAUGAGAAAAGGAACACAACUUUGAGUAUGAAAUCUACAACACUCUCAUGGCGAGAAUUGCAGAAGUCAUCAGUCUCAUAGCGACUGUAAAGUAUUGACUCAUGGCGUCAGAUACAAUUAACAUCAAAGCAUGAAGAAGAUAAAAUGAACUUGACAAGUAUUUAUAAGCUGAAUUCAUCUAACUGCAAAGCCUCUGUGAGAUACAGAAGGUCUUCUCUUUUAUUUAAAUUCCCACUCCAACGUUCCCUUCCACGUCAGCCUCACUCUGUUUCCCUCCUGACGCCUUCUUCUUGCGAAAAUAAGUCUUUUGAUACUUAUCAAUACCUCGCCCUUCGAAACCGAGCUUGCCCUCAAGCUCGAAAGAAGGAAAACACGCCAUAAACUCCUUCGACAGCAUCCAAGAAUCAUCUGCAGCAUCCUUCCCUUUCCAAGUCACCAACAACUCCAACUCGCCAUCCACAGAAUAUCGUUUAGCCAAGACAUCCAAAGGUUGCAACGGUGCUUCUGUCUCUGUUGAAAACACAUAUUUAUGUUAACUCAUCGUUCGACAAAUUUUUUGACCGGGUCAAACCGUUUCGAACCAAAAUCUAAAUGUGCCGUCGAGUCGAGGUAUGCAUUAAAAAGGGACUUGCAGUUGAAACUGAAUUCAAAUUGGGCAACUUAACCAUCAAGACUUUUGUCUUCUUUUCUCAUUCCUAUGCAUCUCUUUCGUAGCUAGGCCCACUCUUAGCAUCCGAGGAAAAAAAAAAGGCUUAAAGAGCAAGCAUUCUUUACUUUCUCGGAAACCAAAACAGCCAAAAUCUCGGGAAAACUUUCGAGGAUCUGAGUCCAAGACAACAGCUAAAGGAAAAAAAAUGAUGAAAGUUGAACGAAAACAUUAGACAUUUUGAUGUAACGUAAUAUACGACGAAUCAAUCGAAUUGUAAAAAAUAAAAAAGGAUCGUUCCAAUCUUAACUUCUUCUGAAUCCUUAUAUUUACAUUUUGUAGAAUGAACAAACAUAUAUAUAUUAUCAUCAAUGUAGAACUGAAGAAUCUCUGUUACUUCUGUUUCUCCCGAAGUAUCUUCUCAUCACUGAACUCGACCGUUCCAAACCCCUAGGUUCUACUCCAAUGUCCAAAUUCACACGAUUCGACGAAGAGGAAUUAGAGCCACGGUUCGGUCUCACUCUCCUCAUCAACGACACCAUUCCCCGAACCAUCCUUCUCAAUCUACCUCCCGAGCCGGAGGCACCACCAUUGCUACUAUCCGACUCCACUGUCCCCUGUGCUCUAACCCACGAGAUCCGUCUCGGACCCUCACUGUUCCCACUACCAAUCCCACCACCAUCCAUCUCCGUCAACACCACAGGCAACACUCUCUCCCCCUCUCCCAUCGCCGCAUUAAACCUCCCGACCGCGAAUCCCCCUCCGGGAAGCCUCCAUAUCGUCAUCCCCACGGCGUUAUCACCCUCCUCGUUGUUGCUGCUGCUCCGUCUGUUAGGCUCCGAAGGUAGCUCGAACCGGCAGACCGGGCACGAGUUUCUGAUCGAUAGCCACGGCGUGAUACAGUCGUCGUGGAAAAUGUGUUUACACGGCAUCUCACGCGCCUCCGUCUCCGCCUCGAAAACCUCAGUGCACACAGCGCAAUUCGCCUCCGAGC